rnacentral:tRNA from 1 species
UUAAUUGAAGCCAAAAAGAGGCAUACUACUGUUAAUAGUAAAACUGAGCAAAUAACUCCAAUUAAA